rnacentral:rRNA from 1 species
GCUAAUACCGUAUACGUUUUAAGGACCGCAUGGUCCUUAAAACAAAACUCCGGUGGUACGGGAUGGGCCCGCGUCUGAUUAGCUCGUUGGCGGGGUAACGGCCCACCAAGGCGACGAUCAGUAGCCGGCCUGAGAGGGCGGCCGGCCACAUUGGGACUGAGACACGGCCCAGACUCCUGCGGGAGGCAGCAGUGGGGAAUAUUGCACAAUGGGGGAAACCCUGAUGCAACGACGCCGCAUAAGCGAGGAAGUACCUCGGCCCGUCAAGCUCUGUCAGCAGGGAAGAAAAUGACAGUACCUGACCAAGAAGCCCCGGCUAACUACGUGCCAGCAGCCGCGGUAAUACGUAGGGGGCAAGCGUUAUCCGGAUUCACUGGGCGUAAAGGGAGCGCAGGCGGCACGGCAAGUCUGAUGUGAAAACCCGGGGCUCAACCCCGGGACUGCAUUGGAAACUGCCGGGCUGGAGUGUCGGAGGGGUAAGCGGAAUUCCUGGUGUAGCGGUGAAAUGCGUAGAUAUC